ACUCUCCCUCAAGAGCUUCUC
rnacentral:miRNA from 2 species